rnacentral:snRNA from 1 species
AUCGAAGUGUUGAGUUCGCUCUU